AUUGAACGCUGGCGGCAUGCCUUACACAUGCAAGUCGAACGGCAGCACGGGGGCAACCCUGGUGGCGAGUGGCGAACGGGUGAGUAAUACAUCGGAACGUGCCCCGUAGCGGGGGACGAACCAGUCGAAAGACUGGCUAAUACCGCAUACGCUCCACGGAGGAAAGCAGGGGAUCGCAAGACCUUGCACUAUGGGAGCGGCCGAUGCCCGAUUAGCUAGUU
rnacentral:rRNA from 1 species